AAAAAAAACAUCAUUGAGCAUGAAACCAAAGCUUCACCAAACAAACAACAAAACAAAUGAAACACUAUAUUAAAAGAGAUAAAGAAGAAAGACUAACUUGAGAGACACACAUUUGUGUAUAGUGGCAAAGAAGAAGGCGGUGGGGUGUAACGAAUGAUGGUGGUUGACGGCAGUUACCGGUGGAAGUUAGAAUAACGUUACAAAUCAGGCACAUUGAUAGUGCUUCAAAGCAGUGCAACAACAUAAAGAUCAAAUAAGGCAGACAGUUAGAGCACAAGCAAAGUAGUGCAGCAAAAGGAAAACAAACAAGGCAUGUAGCAGCUGACAAGGCAACAUAAAAUGGCUUUGUUUAUUGUUUUAAAUUGUAAUUUGAUUUGGCUUAAUAUUUAAUUUGUAAUUUGAUUUGGUUUUAAAACUGUAAUUAGAUUUAGUUUUAAAACUGUAAUUAGAUUUGACAUUGUCAAUUGAUGAGAUAUAAUGAACAUACUUAUUGUAAUUUGAUUUUUAA